AUAAAAAAUUUUAAAACCAUGAUCAUGAAGGUGGUUUUCCCAGGGCGAGGCUCAUCCAUUGCACUCCGGAUGUGCUGAGCCCUGUGGUUUCCCCAAAUGUGGGAAACUGAGCUGCAUAAUUUGUGGUAGUGGGGGUCUGUGUUCGUGCUUUCCCCUU
ensembl:snRNA U1 U1 spliceosomal RNA